rnacentral:rRNA from 1 species
UACGGGGGGGGGCAAGCGUUGUUCGGAAUUACUGGGCGUAAAGGGCGCGUAGGCGGUUUGUUAAGUUGGAUGUGAAAACUCUGGGCUUAACCCAGAGCCUGCAUCCAAAACUAGCAGGCUAGAGUUCUGGAGGGGAUAGCGGAAUUCCUGGUGUAGCGGUGAAAUGCGUAGAUAUCAGGAAGAACACCUAUGGCGAAGGCAGCUCUCUGGGACGGUACUGACGCUGAGGUGCGAAAGCGUGGGGAGCAAACAGG